GCCGGCUUAGCACAGAGGUAGCUGCGUCUGCCUUGUAGGUACCUUACGUAGUCAUCUCGUAAGCACUACGAUAGCAGAAGGUCGUGUGUUCAAUCCACACAGUCGGCA